rnacentral:rRNA from 1 species
GACAGAGGGGGCAAGCGUUGCUCGGAAUCACUGGGCGUAAAGGGCGCGUAGGCGGGAUGGCAAGUCGGUCGUGAAAUCCUUCGGCUCAACCGAAGAACGUCGGCCGAUACUGCCGUUCUUGAGGGAUGCAGAGGAGAUUGGAAUUCCCGGUGUAGCGGUGAAAUGUGUAGAGAUCGGGAGGAACACCGGUGGCGAAGGCGGGUCUCUGGGCGUCUCCUGACGCUGAGGCGCGAAAGCGUGGGGAGCAAACGGG